rnacentral:misc_RNA from 1 species
UUUUUUUUUUUUGAAAAAAAAGAUUAAAACUUUUGUUUCUUUUGCAAUCAACUAAAUGAAUCAUGGGGAAAAUGUACUUGCUUUCUUGAAACUUUGAGGGUAUCAAGCGUGUUGUUUCCUGUGUUCUGCGAGCCUCUUGUGCAUUGUGCUAAUUAUUCCUUCUUUUCUUGAUGAAUCACCAUUUCAAUCUGUGGCGUGACAGUGACUUUGUAGAUAUGGAGUAGCAAUUAUUAGGGUUCUGCCUUUCCAUGAUGUGCUAAAGUGGUGUGUCAAAUCUAAGUUAUAUGAGUACUUGUUUAUAUUGUUAAUGCUGAAGGCCUGCACCUAUGUCCAGAGAAUAUUGAGGUAGUGCACUAGUUGUCUGCAUGUUAGUAUCUUAUCAUUUUGCUGUGGAUUUUGUACUUUCUACUUGCACUGGUUGCUUAGUCUCAUGCAAAUAUUUCUUGUGGCCAUUUAGGUGAUGAUGUCGAUUUUAGGAAUUUAUCAAAUAUAUACAUGUUUGCCUUUCUUGGAAAUCUUGACUAAUCUUAGUGGGCAAAAUCACUAGGAUUUAAUGAUGCUACUUGUGUAACAUUUUGGUGCUAAUUUCUUUUGGUCAUUUGUCCCAAAAGUUCAGAGUUGCUGGUCAUUUGUUGCCUAUGAUUCAGGUACUGUCAAUUUUGAAGUUGUUGUUGCUUGCAUUUAAAUUUUCUCUUGAUGGGGAUUUAUCUAAUUGAACAUUUCUUUUGCUAGGGUCAAUAGAUUUCAAGAAGAGCAAGAAGAUUCUGCAUCUCAGGUUUCAGCCACCACUUCCUUGACAAGGACUCUUUCACCCAUGCAGGAGUUAAGAAUGGAGAGAAACAUUGUUGCCCAACUGAAAUUUUGAAUGUAAAGGUAUUUAACCGUUGGCUUUUGAUCUAAAUAAUUACUUAUCUAUGCACUUUGAUGAACCUAACUGUAGGCUGAAGGAACAGUUUUCUCUUAUCUGUCUCCUGUAUUUUGGAACACGUCUUUGAUUUGUUCAUCUGUAUCUUUCCUGGCUUUCUGAUAGCAUCAUCUUAGUGAAAACACGUUCAUGAUUAGUAAUAAAGGCCAUAAUAGGCGCCCUUUUGUCAUUAUAUCUCACUCUAUUAGGUAUCAGGAUGGGUGCCUAGCCCAGGAAGCACCACAAAAUGGUGUCUAGGAUUUUAUGGAGCUUGGUAAUUAUAUCUGUACCACAGCUUGCUAUUUUGGAGUUUGGACUUGCCCUGGCCAGAAAAAAAGGCUGAAGAAUGAAGUACUUGAAUUAAUGGAAUUUUACCAAGUCGCUUUGAUUUUAAUGCAGUCUGCCUUUUUUACAAAGGUUUUGCUUUAAGUUCAUUUAUGCAUUUUGCAGGACUAGUCAUUGGUUUAUAAACACCCCAGGCCCACCCCCCUCUUCUUUUUUUCCAAGUCUUCCUCUCUCUCAAUGAUCAUUGAAUCCUAUUAUGAGAUCUAAGUCUUGAGUGAUUGGCUGCUUUCAAAGUUUUGAUAUCUAAUGGUGUAUUAUUCACAAAGGCAAACUGGAUAUGAUUUACUGAAUUUAAAUCCUUGGUUUAUUAUAGGCUUUUUUUCUAUA